GUACUGCAAACCGACUCAGGUGGACGGGGUGAAUAUCCCAAGGCGCGUGAGAGAACCCUGGUUAAGGAACUCAGCAAAUUGACACCGUAACUUCGGGAGAAGGUGUGCCGCUGGCGGUUAGUGACUUCGCGUCACGAAGCUGUCGGUGGUCGCUGUGAAAUGGCGGUUGUGACUGUUUACUAAAAACACAGGACUCUGCGAAGUCGUAAGACGACGUAUAGGGUCUGAUGCCUGCCCGGUGCUGGAAGGUUAAGGGGAUAUGUCAGCGCAAGCGAAGCAUUGAACCGAAGCCCCAGUAAACGGCGGCCGUAACUAUAACGGUCCUAAGGUAGCGAAAUUCCUUGUCGGGUAAGUUCCGACCUGCACGAGGGCAUAACAACAUCCGCACUGUCUUGACCAGGGACUCAGCGAAAUUACAUUGGGGGUGAAGAUGCCCUCUACCCGCGGAAAGACGGAAAGACCCCAUGAACCUUUACUGCAACUUGGCAGUGAUUUUCGGGUUGUUCUGCGUAGGAUAGGUGGGAGGCUUUGAAGCCGGGCUUCCGGGUUCGGCAGAGCCAACGUUGAAAUACCACCCUGAAUAAUCUGGAAAUCUAACCUGCGCCCAUGAUCUGGGCGAGGGACACUGCCUGGUGGGCAGUUUGACUGGGGCGGUCGCCUCCUAAAUUGUAACGGAGGCGUGCGACGGUUCCCUCAGGCUGAUUGGAAACCAGCCGUAGAGUGCAAACGCAUAAGGGAGCUUUACUGCGAGACUGACAAGUCGAACAGUUGCGAAAGCAGGUGUUAGUGAUCCGGUGGUACCACAUGGAAGGGCCAUCGCUCAUCGGAUAAAAGGUACUCUGGGGAUAACAGGCUGAUCGCGCCUGAGAGUUCACAUCGGCGGCGCGGUUUGGCACCUCGAUGUCGGCUCAUCGCAUCCUGGGGCUGGAGCAGGUCCCAAGGGUUUGGCUGUUCGCCAAUUAAAGCGGUACGCGAGCUGGGUUUAAAACGUCGUGAGACAGUUUGGUCCCUAUCUUCCGUGGGCGCAGGACACUUGAGAGGAGCUAUCCAUAGUACGAGAGGACCUGGAUGGACGAACCUCUGGUGCUCCGGUUGUCACGCCAGUGGCAUAGCCGGGUAGCCAUGUUCGGAACAGAUAACCGCUGAAGGCAUAUAAGCGGGAAGCUGGCCUCAAGACUAGGUGUCCCUGACGCAAGUCACUAAAGGCCCCUCGAAGACUACGAGGUUGAUAGGCUCGGUGUGGAAGCGCUGCGAGGCGUGGAGCUAACGAGUACUAAUAGGCCGUGCGACUUGACCU
rnacentral:rRNA from 1 species